rnacentral:rRNA from 1 species
GUUAGCGGCGGACGGGUGAGUAACACGUGGAUAACCUACCUAUAAGACUGGGAUAACUUCGGGAAACCGGAGCUAAUACCGGAUAAUAUAUUGAACCGCAUGGUUCAAUAGUGAAAGACGGCUUUGCUGUCACUUAUAGAUGGAUCCGCGCCGCAUUAGCUAGUUGGUAAGGUAACGGCUUACCAAGGCAACGAUGCGUAGCCGACCUGAGAGGGUGAUCGGCCACACUGGAACUGAGACACGGUCCAGACUCCUACGGGAGGCAGCAGUAGGGAAUCUUCCGCAAUGGGCGAAAGCCUGACGGAGCAACGCCGCGUGAGUGAUGAAGGUCUUCGGAUCGUAAAACUCUGUUAUUAGGGAAGAACAAAUGUGUAAGUAACUGUGCACGUCUUGACGGUACCUAAUCAGAAAGCCACGGCUAACUACGUGCCAGCAGCCGCGGUAAUACGUAGGUGGCAAGCGUUAUCCGGAAUUAUUGGGCGUAAAGCGCGCGUAGGCGG